UCCCCUGUGGCUCAGUUGGUAGAGCAUGGUGUUUGCAACGCCAGGGUUGUGGGUUUGAUUCCCACGGGGGAC
rfam:Salmo salar isolate Sally breed double haploid chromosome ssa12, whole genome shotgun sequence.